rnacentral:rRNA from 1 species
GAUGAACGCUAGCGGGAGGCUUAAUACAUGCAAGUCGAACGGUAAGGUCAGAGCUUGCUCUGAUACACGAGUGGCGCACGGGUGAGUAACGCGUACGCAAUCUACCCUUAAGAGGGGGAUAGCCCUGGGAAACUGGGAGUAAUCCGCCAUAGUAUAUAGAUGAGGCAUCUCAUUUAUAUUAAAGUUUCGGUGCUUAAGGAUGAGCGUGCGUCCUAUUAGAUAGUUGGUGAGGUAACGGCUCACCAAGUCGAUGAUAGGUAGGGGGCGUGAGAGCGUGAUCCCCCACACGGGUACUGAGACACGGACCCGACUCCUACGGGAGGCAGCAGUAAGGAAUAUUGGACAAUGGGCGGCAGCCUGAUCCAGCCAUCCCGCGUGCAGGAAGACGGCCCUCUGGGUUGUAAACUGCUUUUAUAUACCAAGAAACGCCUUCACGUGUGAGGGUUUGACGGUAGUAUAUGAAUAAGCACCGGCUAACUCCG